rnacentral:tRNA from 1 species
GCCUGGGUGGCUCAGUCAGUUGAGUGUCUGACUUCGACUCAGGUCAUGAUCCCAGGGUCCUGGGAUCGAGCCCCACUUUGGGCU